rnacentral:lncRNA from 1 species
AUGGGUUUCUAUAAGGUGCUGACUAAGCGGUUUGUGGGAGAUGAAAAUGGUACUGUAAAAGGACUCGAAGUGGUACGUGUUCGCUGGGAGAAGUGUGAAACCGACAAGUUUCAAUGUAAGGAAACUGAGGGCAGUGAGGACAUAAUCGAGGCUGACCUAGUUUUACUUGCUAUGGGAUUCCUUGGCCUUGAGUUGGUAGAUAAAAGAUACUGA